GUGGGGAAUAUUCCGCAAUGGACGAAAGUCUGACGGAGCAACGCCGCGUGAGUGAUGAAGGUUUUCGGACUGUAAAGCUCUGUUGUUCAGGACGAAAGUGCCUGUUGUGAACAGUUACAGGUAUUGACGGUACUGAACGAGGAAGCCACGGCUAACUACGUGCCAGCAGCCGCGGUAAUACGUAGGUGGCAAGCGUUGUCCGGAAUUAUUGGGCGUAAAGAGCAUGUAGGCGGGAAUCUAAGUCUGUUGUGAAAAUGCGGGGCUCAACCCCGUAUGGCGAUGGAAACUGGAUUUCUUGAGUGCAGGAGAGGAAAGGGGAAUUCCCAGUGUAGCGGUGAAAUGCGUAGAUAUUGGGAGGAACACCAGUGGCGAAGGCGCCUUUCUGGACUGUGUCUGACGCUGAGAUGCGAAAGCCAGGGUAGCGAACGGGAUUAGAUACCCGGGUAGUCC
rnacentral:rRNA from 1 species